rnacentral:rRNA from 1 species
UACGUAGGGUGCGAGCGUUAAUCGGAAUUACUGGGCGUAAAGGGUGAGUAGGUGGCGUAUGAAGCCGUAAGUGAAAUCCCCGGGCUUAACCUGGGAAGGUCUUAUGGGACUGAUAAGCUAGAGUCCAGGAGAGGGGGGCAGAAUUCCACGUGUAGCAGUGAAAUGCGUAGAGAUGUGGAGGAAUACCGAUGGCGAAGGCAGCCCCCUGGUAUGAGACUGACACUGAGUCACGAAAGCGUGGGUAGCGAACAGG